rnacentral:rRNA from 1 species
GUGUACGUACAAGCAGUGGGAGCACCCUUCGGGGUGUGACUGCGUACCUUUUGUAUAAUGGGUCAGCGACUUAUAUUCUGUAGCAAGGUUAACCGUAUAGGGGAGCCGGAGGGAAACCGAGUCUUAAUUGGGCGUUAAGUUGCAGGGUAUAGACCCGAAACCCGGUGAUCUAGCCAUGGGCAGGUUGAAGGUUGGGUAACACUAACUGGAGGACCGAACCGACUAAUGUUGAAAAAUUAGCGGAUGACCUGUGGCUGGGGGUGAAAGGCCAAUCAAACCGGGAGAUAGCUGGUUCUCCCCGAAAGCUAUUUAGGUAGCGCCUCGUGAAUUCAUCUCCGGGGGUAGAGCACUGUUUCGGCUAGGGGGCCAUCCCGGCUUACCAACCCGAUGCAAACUGCGAAUACCGGAGAAUGUUAUCACGGGAGACACACGGCGGGUGCUAACGUCCGUCGUGAAGAGGGAAACAACCCAGACCGCCAGCUAAGGUCCCAAAGUCAUGGUUAAGUGGGAAACGAUGUGGGAAGGCCCAGACAGCCAGGAUGUUGGCUUAGAAGCAGCCAUCAUUUAAAGAAAGCGUAAUAGCUCACUGGUCGAGUCGGCCUGCGCGGAAGAUGUAACGGGGCUAAACCAU